rnacentral:rRNA from 1 species
UACGUAGGGUGCGAGCGUUAAUCGGAAUUACUGGGCGUAAAGGGUGCGCAGGCGGUUAUAUAAGACAGAUGUGAAAUCCCCGGGCUCACCUGGGAACUGCGUUUGUGACUGUAUGACUAGAGUACGGUAGAGAGGGGUGGAAUUCCUGGCGUAGCAGUGAAAUGCGUAGAUAUCAGGAGGAACAUCGAUGGCGAAGGCAGCCCCUUGGACCUGUACUGACGCUCAUGCACGAAAGCGUGGGGAGCAAACAGG